rnacentral:rRNA from 1 species
CCGAAGCAACAGACUUUUUUUUAAAGUGGUAGCAGAACAUUCUGUACGUUAAUAAAGGUAUAUGGUGACAUAUACUAAAAAUAUCAGAAGUGAAAAUGUUGAUAUGAGUAGCGAUAAACGAUGUGUGAAAAACAUCGUCGCCGAAAAUCCAAGGUUUUUGGGGGAAGGCUAAUCCUCCCCGUAGAAUUCUUAUGAAUUCGCACAAACGGCCCCUAAGAAAAAAGCGAAAGCUGUAUUCAAUGGGAUGAUGGAUUAUCCAUCUUUAUUAAUUAGUGACAAAGUAUGCAUUUUAAAUAUAUUUUAUGAUUACAAUAUAUUUUUUUAAAUACUUUCAGGAAAAAGCUUUUUAAAUAAAAACCGUACUGUAAACCGACACAGGUGGGUGGGUCGAGUAGACUAAGGCGCUUGGGAGAACUAUGUUGAAGGAACUCGGCAAAAUGACUCCGUAACUUCGGGAUAAGGAGUGACCUUUUUUCUUUUUAAGCCAGAUAAAUAUAAUUUUGGUACAAUUGAAUAAAGGCCGACACAAAAUCGGGGGUGGCGACUGUUUAGUAAAAACACAGGUCUCUGCUAACUCGUAAGAGGACGUAUAGGGACUGAUACCUGCCCGGUGCUGCAAGGUUAACGGGAGAAGUUUUGGCUUCGAACUUAAGCCCCAGUAAACGGCGGCCGUAACUCUGACGGUCCUAAGGUAGCGAAAUUCCUUGGCAACUAAUUAUUGUCCUGCAUGAAUGGUAUAACGACUGCCCUACUGUCUCCAGCAUAGACUCAGUGAAAUUGAAAUGCCCGUGAAGAUGCGGGCUACCUACAGCUAGACGGAAAGACCCCGUGCACCUUUACUAUAGAUAUACAUUGCAGUAAAGAAAUUUAUGUGUAGAAUAGGUGGGAGCUUUUGACGCCUUUGCGUAAGCAAAUUGUAGAAGCGCUCUUGAAAUACCACCCUUAAGUUUUUUUACAGCUCAUUUUAUUAAAGACAUUGUAUAUUAGGUAGUUUGACUGGGGCGGUCGCCUCCUAAAUAGUAACGGAGGCGUACGAAGGUAAGUUCAAAUCGGCAUAUAUCGAUUGUAGAGCACAAUAGUAUAAGCUUGCUUGACUGUAAGAUUGACAAAUCGAGCAGGGACGAAAGUCGGUUAUAGUGAUCCGGCGAUUCUUUGUGGAAGGGUCGUCGCUCAACGGAUAAAAGGUACGCCGGGGAUAACAGGCUUAUAAUCCCCUAGAGAUCUUAUCGACGGGAUUGUUUGGCACCUCGAUGUCUGAUCUGCACAUCCUGGGGCUGAAGGCGGUCCCAAGGGUUCGGCUGUUCGCCGAAUAAUGUGCAACGUGAUCUGGGUUUAGAACGUCGUGAGACAGUUUGGUCCCUAUCUACUGUGGGCAUUGAAAAAUUGAGAGGAUUAAACCCUAGUACGAGAGGACCGGGAAAAGUAAAUCUCUGUUUACCAGUUGUCAUAU